AGUGAACGCUGGCGGCGUGCCUAAUACAUGCAAGUCGAACGGAGUGGCGCACGGGUGAGUAAUAUAUCGCUAAUCUGCCCCUUGCUGGCGGACAACAGUUAGAAAUGACUGCUAAUACUCCAUAGCAAGGGAUGAGACUAUAUCGUAUCAGCUAGUCGGUGGGGUAACGGCCUACCGAGGCUAUGACGCGUAACUUGUCUGAGAGGAUGAGCAGGAACAUGGGAAAUGAGACACGGGCAAAACUACUACGGGAGGCAGCAGUAGGGAAUAUGGCGAAAUGGGGGAAACCCUGACGCAGCAACGAAGCGUGGAGGAUGACACUUUGAGGAGCGUAAACUACUUUUGGUAGGGAAGCGGUACCUAACGAAUAAGCACCGGCUAACUCCGUGCCAGCAGCCGCGGUAAUAC
rnacentral:rRNA from 1 species